rnacentral:misc_RNA from 1 species
GCAUUCUGGGGGUCGUUUUGGCUUUUGGUUGCUUGCUUGGCUUUCGGCUGGGUGGGUCGCUACUAGUCGGACGGUUUUCGGGAAUGUCGACCGGGAAGGUGCAUGAGUGGUGUUUGGUGUGUUACGGGUGGUUGGCUGUUUGCUUGCGCAACAACGUCCACGCGGCAUACCUCUUCAGUUUUGCGUCAAGACACGGUUUGUCUUGAGCACAUUGCGGGUUUCCUGUGUUGCAUACCUAACCGAUGGUAACGUGCCGGCUUUAUGAUGUCCCUUUUCGUCAUGCGUCGCUCAUGCGGCGUGGGACGAACAUUGAAGCGGUCUUUGUGAUCCACCUUGUCCUUGCAUUUGCAAGGAUGAUGUGGCCUACGAAGCAUCGCUUGGUCUCUUGCAUACGGAACCUGAUGUGGGCAUGGGUCUUCUAAGAUCCUGAUCUGCCCUCGUUAAGCGUUCUCGCUUCUCCAAAACGAUCGCCUGCCAUGUCUCGGCUUGUCCUUGCAUGGUGGGCUACGUCGA